AGUCAAGAGUUAGAAAGAAAACAAUCAUGUGGCCAGGGGAGAAUCUGAUUGGCCGGUAACUUAAAAAUCUACUAGCCGUGUUGGCUGGUGAUUAAAACAGUAAAUGUAAAGCCCUGGUUGAAGUGAGUGUG